GGCAAGGUGGCAGAGUGGUUAUGCAGCGGCCUGCAAAGCCGUGGACGUCGGUUCGAUUCCGAUCCUUGCCUC
rnacentral:tRNA from 2 species